rnacentral:rRNA from 1 species
CACGUAGUUAGCCGGGGCUUCUUGGUCAGGUACCGUCUUGCUUCUUCCCUGCUGAUAGAGCUUUACAUACCGGAGUACUCCUUCACUCACGCGGCGUCGCUGCAUCAGGGUUCCCCCAUUGUGCAAUAUCCCCCACUGCUGCCUCCCGUAGGAGUUUGGGCCGUGUCUCAGUCCCAAUGUGGCCGGUCACCCUCUCAGGUCGGCUACCGAUCGUUGCCUUGGUGGGCCGUUACCCCACCAACCAGCUGAUCGGACGCGGGUCCAUCCUAUACCACCGGAGUUUUCCGCACUGUCCCAUGCGGGACUGUGCGCUCAUGCGGUAUUAGCAGCCAUUUCUAGCUGUUAUCCCCCAGUAUAGGGCAGGUUACCCACGCGUUACUCACCCGUCGCCACUAAGUCAUGCCCCUCUCCGCCCGAAGGCCUCAAGGGUCAUGCUUCGUUCGACUUGCAUGUGUUAGGCUACGCCGCCAGCGUUCAUCCUGAGCCAGGAUCAAACUCU